rnacentral:rRNA from 1 species
UACGAAGGGGGCUAGCGUUGUUCGGAAUCACUGGGCGUAAAGCGCACGUAGGCGGAUCUUUAAGUCAGGGGUGAAAUCCCGAGGCUCAACCUCGGAACUGCCUUUGAUACUGGAGAUCUCGAGUCCGGGAGAGGUGAGUGGAACUGCGAGUGUAGAGGUGAAAUUCGUAGAUAUUCGCAAGAACACCAGUGGCGAAGGCGGCUGUCUGGUCCGGUUCUGACGCUGAGGCGCGAAAGCGUGGGGAGCAAACAGG